GAUGAAGAACGCAGCGAAAUGCGAUAAGUAAUGUGAAUUGCAGAAUUCAGUGAAUCAUCGAAUCUUUGAACGCACAUUGCGCCCGCCAGUAUUCUGGCGGGCAUGCCUGUUCGAGCGUCAUUUCAACCAUCAAGCCCCCCGGCUUGUGUUGGGGACCUGCGGCUGCCGCAGGCCCUGAAAAGCAGUGGCGGGCUCGCUGUCACCCCGAGCGUAGUAGAUCUCAUCUCGCUCAGGGCGUGCUGCGGGUUCCGGCCGUUAAACCACCUUCAUAACCCAAGGUUGACCUCGGAUCAGGUAGGAAGACCCGCUGAACUUAAGCAUAUCAAUAAGCGGAGGA
rnacentral:misc_RNA from 1 species